rnacentral:rRNA from 1 species
AUGUCUUGCUGCGGAGGAAACUGCGGCUGCGGCACCGCCUGCAAGUGCGGCAACGGCUGCGGCGGCUGCAACAUGUACCCCGAGGUUGAGGCCGCCGGCGCCACCCUCCUCGUCUCCGCCACCGCCACCCACAAGGCGAGCUCCGGCGGGAUGGAGAUGGCGGCCGAGAACGGCGGCUGCGGCUGCACCCAGUGCAAGUGCGGCACCAGCUGCGGCUGCUCCUGCUGCAGCUGCUAG